rnacentral:tRNA from 1 species
GUGGCCUUAGCUCAGUUGGUAGAGCACCUGACUGUUAAUCAGGUUGUCGCUGGUUCGAGUCCAGCAGACUACG